rnacentral:rRNA from 1 species
GACGAACGCUGGCGGCGUGCUUAACACAUGCAAGUCGAACGGUGAUCUUGAGAGCUUGCUCUUGGGUGAUCAGUGGCGAACGGGUGAGUAACACGUGAGCAACCUGCCCCAGACUCUGGAAUAACCCCGGGAAACCGGAGCUAAUACCGGAUACGACACUGGCCCGCAUGGGUAUGGUGUGGAAAGUUUUUCGGUCUGGGAUGGGCUCGCGGCCUAUCAGCUUGUUGGUGAGGUAGUGGCUCACCAAGGCGACGACGGGUAGCCGGCCUGAGAGGGCGACCGGCCACACUGGGACUGAGACACGGCCCAGACUCCUACGGGAGGCAGCAGUGGGGAAUAUUGCACAAUGGGCGCAAGCCUGAUGCAGCGACGCCGCGUGAGGGAUGACGGCCUUCGGGUUGUAAACCUCUUUCAGCAGGGAAGAAGCGCAAGUGACGGUACCUGCAGAAGAAGCACCGGCUAACUACGUGCCAGCAGCCGCGGUAAUACGUAGGGUGCGAUCGUUGUCCGGAAUUAUUGGGCGUAAAGAGCUUGUAGGCGGUUUGUCGCGUCUGCUGUGAAAAUCCGGGGCUCAACCCCGGACUUGCAGUGGGUACGGGCAGGCUAGAGUGUGGUAGGGGAGACUGGAAUUCCUGGUGUAGCGGUGAAAUGCGCAGAUAUCAGGAGGAACACCGAUGGCGAAGGCAGGUCUCUGGGCCACUACUGACGCUGAGAAGCGAAAGCAUGGGGAGCGAACAGGAUUAGAUACCCUGGUAGUCCAUGCCGUAAACGUUGGGAACUAGGUGUGGGUCUCAUUCCACGAGAUCCGUGCCGCAGCUAACGCAUUAAGUUCCCCGCCUGGGGAGUACGGCCGCAAGGCUA